AAGUCGUAACAAGGUUUCCGUAGGUGAACCUGCGGAAGGAUCAUUGCCGAACGGACGCGCGCUCGAAGGCCCCCUCGCGGGUCGAGGGCCGCGUCUUAUCGCACACCCAUGUGAAUUCGUGAUCGUGACCCUGGACGGUGUUAGUUGGUUGAGCUCAGGCUCGCCGAUGCCGAUCCGGCUCCUUUCAACCCAAUCAACAAACCACGUUGUCAAAAACCUCUUGACUGAGACGAAUGGGUCGACGCCCUAAAAAAGCGACCGACUCGACAAGACAUAACCUAUCACAACUUUUAACAACGGAUAUCUUGGCUCGC
rnacentral:misc_RNA from 1 species